GAAUAAUUUCAGAUUUACUACUGUUUUGGUCCUCUACUGUUCUGGGUGCAGCAUCAAAUUGCACUGAUAACAAAAAUAUGGACUGCGAAACAUUGGACAAACUGUUCGAUGUAUGCGACGACAUACAUAAUGCAAAAACUGUUUGCAGGAACUUCUGUAAUUUAUGCUCAUUAGUUGAUGGAAAUUGGGCUGAAUAGACUUCCUGGUCAAGUUGUGACGUCACAUGUGGACAAGGAAAAUAUACAAGAAUCAGAACGUGUACCGAUCCUGCACCAGCGUACCAAGGUUUGGAUUGUGAAGGAAACGCUAUCGAUACAAAACCUUGUGUGAAGCCACUUUGUCCAGUACAUGGCGGAUGGUCAGAUUGGUCCAACUGGGGAUCGUGCCCGAUUACUUGUGGAAUAGGAAUACAGAAACGAUUCAGAAACUGUUCUAAUCCAUACCCUUUUAGGUAUGGGGAACAUUGUUUCGGAAACACAGUAGAUAUGAGAAUUU